GUAGCUUGCUACUUUGCCGGCGAGCGGCGGACGGGUGAGUAAUGUCUGGGAAACUGCCCGAUGGAGGGGGAUAACCACUGGAAACGGUGGCUAAUACCGCAUAACGUCUUCGGACCAAAGUGGGGGACCUUCGGGCCUCACACCAUCGGAUGUGCCCAGAUGGGAUUAGCUAGUAGGUGGGGUAAUGGCUCACCUAGGCGACGAUCCCUAGCUGGUCUGAGAGGAUGACCAGCCACACUGGAACUGAGACACGGUCCAGACUCCUACGGGAGGCAGCAGUGGGGAAUAUUGCACAAUGGGCGCAAGCCUGAUGCAGCCAUGCCGCGUGUGUGAAGAAGGCCUUCGGGUUGUAAAGCACUUUCAGCGAGGAGGAAGGGUAGUGUCUUAAUACGGCAUUACAUUGACGUUACUCGCAGAAGAAGCACCGGCUAACUCCGUGCCAGCAGCCGCGGUAAUACGGAGGGUGCAAGCGUUAAUCGGAAUUACUGGGCGUAAAGCGCACGCAGGCGGUUUGUUAAGUCAGAUGUGAAAUCCCCGAGCUUAACUUGGGAACUGCAUUUGAAACUGGCAGACUAGAGUCUCGUAGAGGGGGGUAGAAUUCCAGGUGUAGCGGUGAAAUGCGUAGAGAUCUGGAGGAAUACCGGUGGCGAAGGCGGCCCCCUGGACGAAGACUGACGCUCAGUGCGAAAGCGUGGGGAGCAAACAGGAUUAGUAGC
rnacentral:rRNA from 1 species